rnacentral:snoRNA from 1 species
UCCCUCUCAGGGUGGCACCUGGAGAGUUUCCAGUCCUCUACCAGUCUCGGCUACGGGAGGGAGAGUCGAGCAGAGGCCCACUCAUUCCAUUCCUAGCUUGGGCAGUGGCUAGCGAGUGCAAGACAAUCUGCUAUAAGU